UACGAAGGGGGGCGAGCGUUGUUCGGAAUUACUGGGCGUAAAGGGCGCGUAGGCGGCGACCCAAGUCAGAUGUGAAAGUCCUGGGCUUAACCUGGGGACUGCAUUUGAUACUGGGUUGCUUGAAUUCGGGAGAGGAUAGCGGAAUUCCCAGUGUAGAGGUGAAAUUCGUAGAUAUUCGCAAGAACACCAGUGGCGAAGGCGGCUCACUGGCCCGGUACUGACGCUGAGGUGCGAAAGCGUGGGGAGCAAACAGGG
rnacentral:rRNA from 1 species